CCUACGGGAGGCAGCAGUGGGGAAUAUUGCACAAUGGGGGAAACCCUGAUGCAGCGACGCCGCGUGAGUGAAGAAGUAUUUCGGUAUGUAAAGCUCUAUCAGCAGGGAAGAAAAUGACGGUACCUGACUAAGAAGCCCCGGCUAACUACGUGCCAGCAGCCGCGGGAAGACGGAGGGGGCAGGCGUUUACCGGAUUUACUGGGGGGUAAGGGAGCCUAGGAGGCAUGGUAAGCCAGAGGUGAAAAGCCAGGGCUCAACUCUGUGGACUGCCUUUGGAACUAUCAAGCUAGAGUGCUGGAGGGGUAAGCGGAAUUCCUAGUGUAGCGGUGAAAUGCGUAGAUAUUAGGAGGAACACCGGUGGCGAAGGCGGCUUACUGGACAGAAACUGACACUGAGGCUCGAAAGCGUGGGGAGCAAACAGGAUUAGAUACCCCAGUAGUC
rnacentral:rRNA from 1 species